rnacentral:tRNA from 14 species
GGGGAUAUGGCGGAAUUGGUAGACGCACUGUGUUCAGGUCGCAGCGCCCUCUGGGCGUGAGAGUUCGAGUCUCUCUAUCCCCACCA